GUCUUGUAAUUGGAAUGAUGGGAAUUUAAACCUCUUCCAGAGUAUCAAUUGGAGGGCAAGUCUGGUGCCAGCAGCCGCGGUAAUUCCAGCUCCAAUAGCGUAUAUUAAAAUUGUUGCAGUUAAAAAGCUCGUAGUUGAAUUUCUGCUGCAUUGCUUUUGCUCCUUUACGAGUCUUUGCAUUGUGGCUUAUUUCGGACUUUGUUUUACAAUGUCCGGAUGUUUACUUUGAGAAAAUUAGAGUGCUCAAAGCAGGCUUUCGCCUUGAAUAGUUUAGCAUGGAAUAAUAAAGUAGGACUUUGGUUCUAUUUUGUUGGUUUUAGGUACCAAAGUAAUGGUUAAUAGGAACAGUUGGGGGCAUUCGUAUUUAACUGUCAGAGGUGAAAUUCUUAGAUUUGUUAAAGACGAACUACUGCGAAAGCAUUUGCCAAGGAUGUUUUCAUUAAUCAAGAACGAAA
rnacentral:rRNA from 1 species